ACGGGAGGCAGCAGUGGGGAAUAUUGGGCAAUGGGCGAAAGCCUGACCCAGCGACGCCGCGUGAGGGAAGAAGAUCUUCGGAUUGUAAACCUUAGUCAACAGGGACGAAGAAAGUGACGGUACCUGUGGAGGAAGCCACGGCUAACUACGUGCCAGCAGCCGCGGUAAUACGUAGGGAGCAAGCGUUAUCCGGAAUUACUGGGUGUAAAGGGAGUGUAGGCGGGACUGUAAGUCAGAUGUGAAAUAUGCCGGCUCAACUGGCAGACUGCAUUUGAAACUGCGGUUCUUGAGUGAAGUAGAGGUAAGCGGAAUUCCUAGUGUAGCGGUGAAAUGCGUAGAUAUUAGGAGGAACAUCAGUGGCGAAGGCGGCUUACUGGGCUUUAACUGACGCUGAGGCUCGAAAGCGUGGGGAGCAAACAGGAUUAGAUACCCUGGUA
rnacentral:rRNA from 1 species